GUAGGUGGCAAGCGUUGUCCGGAAUUAUUGGGCGUAAAGCGCGCGCAGGCGGUUCUUUAAGUCUGAUGUGAAAGCCCACGGCUCAACCGUGGAGGGUCAUUGGAAACUGGAGAACUUGAGUACAGAAGAGGAAAGCGGAAUUCCACGUGUAGCGGUGAAAUGCGUAGAGAUGUGGAGGAACACCAGUGGCGCAGGCGGCUUUCUGGUCUGUAACUGACGCUGAGGCGCGAAAGCGUGGGGAGCAAACAGGAUUAGAUACCCUGUAGUCCACGCCGUAAACGAUGAGUGCUAAGUGUUAGGGGGUUUCCGCCCCCCUUAGUGCUGCAGCUAACGCAUUAAGCACUCCGCCUGGGAGUACGGCCGCAAGGCUG
rnacentral:rRNA from 1 species